rnacentral:rRNA from 1 species
AUAUUAUACUAGCACUAAUGCAUCGGAUCCCAUCUGUACUCCGAAGUUCAACAUGCUUGGGCGAGAAUAGUACUAGGAUGGGUGACCCCCUGGGAAGUCCUCAUAUUGCACCCG